rnacentral:miRNA from 1 species
UAAGGUGGCCCACCAUCCUGGUUUGCCUGGGACUGAGGAGUUUCCUAGGACAUGGAACUUUCAGGACUAAAAA